rnacentral:rRNA from 1 species
UACGGAGGAUCCAAGCGUUAUCCGGAUUUAUUGGGUUUAAAGGGUGCGUAGGCGGCCAGUUAAGUCAGGGGUGAAAGACGGUAGCUCAACUAUCGCAGUGCCUUUGAUACUGAUUGGCUUGAAUGUACUUGAGGUAGGCGGAAUGUGACAAGUAGCGGUGAAAUGCAUAGAUAUGUCACAGAACACCGAUUGCGAAGGCAGCUCACUAAAGUGUAACUGACGCUGAGGCACGAAAGCGUGGGGAUCAAACAGG